UACGUAGGUGGCAAGCGUUGUCCGGAUUUACUGGGCGUAAAGGGCGUGCAGGCGGUCUGUUAAGUGCAGGGUGAAAGCUCCCGGCUCAACUGGGAGAGGUCCUUGCAUACUGGCGGACUUGAGGGGGGUAGAGGAAAGUGGAAUUCCCGGUGUAGUGGUGAUAUGCGUAGAUAUCGGGAGGAACACCUGUGGCGAAGGCGGCUCACUGGCCCGGUACUGACGCUGAGGUGCGAAAGCGUGGGGAGCAAACAGG
rnacentral:rRNA from 1 species